rnacentral:rRNA from 1 species
UUAAGCGACUAAGCGUACACGGUGGAUGCCCUGGCAGUCAGAGGCGAUGAAGGACGUGCUAAUCUGCGAAAAGCGUCGGUAAGGUGAUAUGAACCGUUAUAACCGGCGAUGUCCGAAUGGGGAAACCCAGUGUGAUUCGUCACACUAUCGUUAACUGAAUACAUAGGUUAACGAGGCGAACCGGGGGAACUGAAACAUCUAAGUACCCCGAGGAAAAGAAAUCAACCGAGAUUCCCCCAGUAGCGGCGAGCGAACGGGGAGCAGCCCAGAGUCUGAAUCAGCUUGUGUGUUAGUGGAACGGUCUGGAAAGUCCGACGGUACAGGGUGAUAGUCCCGUACACCAAAAUGCACAGGUUGUGAACUCGAAGAGUAGGGCGGGACACGUGGUAUCCUGUCUGAAUAUGGGGGGACCAUCCUCCAAGGCUAAAUACUCCUGACUGACCGAUAGUGAACCAGUACCGUGAGGGAAAGGCGAAAAGAACCCCGGCGAGGGGAGUGAAAAAGAACCUGAAACCGUGUACGUACAAGCAGUGGGAGCACCUUCGGGUGUGACUGCGUACCUUUUGUAUAAUGGGUCAGCGACUUAUAUUCUGUAGCAAGGUUAACCGUAUAGGGGAGCCGCAGGGAAACCGAGUCUUAACUGGGCGUUAAGUUGCAGGGUAUAGACCCGAAACCCGGUGAUCUAGCCAUGGGCAGGUUGAAGGUUGGGUAACACUAACUGGAGGACCGAACCGACUAAUGUUGAAAAAUUAGCGGAUGACUUGUGGCUGGGGGUGAAAGGCCAAUCAAACCGGGAGAUAGCUGGUUCUCCCCGAAAGCUAUUUAGGUAGCGCCUCGUGAACUCAUCUUCGGGGGUAGAGCACUGUUUCGGCUAGGGGGUCAUCCCGACUUACCAACCCGAUGCAAACUACGAAUACCGAAGAAUGUUAUCACGGGAGACACACGGCGGGUGCUAACGUCCGUCGUGAAGAGGGAAACAACCCAGACCGCCAGCUAAGGUCCCAAAGUCAUGGUUAAGUGGGAAACGAUGUGGGAAGGCACAGACAGCCAGGAUGUUGGCUUAGAAGCAGCCAUCAUUUAAAGAAAGCGUAAUAGCUCACUGGUCGAGUCGGCCUGCGCGGAAGAUGUAACGGGGCUAAACCAUGCACCGAAGCUGCGGCAGCGACACUAUGUGUUGUUGGGUAGGGGAGCGUUCUGUAAGCCUGCGAAGGUGACCUGUGAGGGUUGCUGGAGGUAUCAGAAGUGCGAAUGCUGACAUAAGUAACGAUAAAGCGGGUGAAAAGCCCGCUCGCCGGAAGACCAAGGGUUCCUGUCCAACGUUAAUCGGGGCAGGGUGAGUCGACCCCUAAGGCGAGGCCGAAAGGCGUAGUCGAUGGGAAACAGGUUAAUAUUCCUGUACUUGGUGUUACUGCGAAGGGGGGACGGAGAAGGCUAUGUUAGCCGGGCGACGGUUGUCCCGGUUUAAGCAUGUAGGCUGAUUAUCCAGGCAAAUCCGGAUAAUCAAGGCUGAGGUGUGAUGACGAGGCACUACGGUGCUGAAGUAACAAAUGCCCUGCUUCCAGGAAAAGCCUCUAAGCAUCAGGUAACAUUAAAUCGUACCCCAAACCGACACAGGUGGUCAGGUAGAGAAUACCAAGGCGCUUGAGAGAACUCGGGUGAAGGAACUAGGCAAAAUGGUGCCGUAACUUCGGGAGAAGGCACGCUGGUGUGUAGGUGAAGUCCCUGCGGAUGGAGCUGAGACCAGUCGAAGAUACCAGCUGGCUGCAACUGUUUAUUAAAAACACAGCACUGUGCAAACACGAAAGUGGACGUAUACGGUGUGACGCCUGCCCGGUGCCGGAAGGUUAAUUGAUGGGGUUAUCCGUAAGGAGAAGCUCUUGAUCGAAGCCCCGGUAAACGGCGGCCGUAACUAUAACGGUCCUAAGGUAGCGAAAUUCCUUGUCGGGUAAGUUCCGACCUGCACGAAUGGCGUAAUGAUGGCCAGGCUGUCUCCACCCGAGACUCAGUGAAAUUGAACUCGCUGUGAAGAUGCAGUGUACCCGCGGCAAGACGGAAAGACCCCGUGAACCUUUACUAUAGCUUGACACUGAACAUUGAGCCUUGAUGUGUAGGAUAGGUGGGAGGCUUUGAAGCGUGGACGCCAGUCUGCGUGGAGCCAACCUUGAAAUACCACCCUUUAAUGUUUGAUGUUCUAACGUUGGCCCCUGACCGGGGUUGCGGACAGUGUCUGGUGGGUAGUUUGACUGGGGCGGUCUCCUCCCAAAGCGUAACGGAGGAGCACGAAGGUUAGCUAAUCCUGGUCGGACAUCAGGAGGUUAGUGCAAUGGCAUAAGCUAGCUUGACUGCGAGCGUGACGGCGCGAGCAGGUGCGAAAGCAGGUCAUAGUGAUCCGGUGGUUCUGAAUGGAAGGGCCAUCGCUCAACGGAUAAAAGGUACUCCGGGGAUAACAGGCUGAUACCGCCCAAGAGUUCAUAUCGACGGCGGUGUUUGGCACCUCGAUGUCGGCUCAUCACAUCCUGGGGCUGAAGUAGGUCCCAAGGGUAUGGCUGUUCGCCAUUUAAAGUGGUACGCGAGCUGGGUUUAGAACGUCGUGAGACAGUUCGGUCCCUAUCUGCCGUGGACGCUGGAGAAUUGAGGGGGGCUGCUCCUAGUACGAGAGGACCGGAGUGGACGCAUCACUGGUGUUCGGGUUGUCAUGCCAAUGGCACUGCCCGGUAGCUAAAUGCGGAAGAGAUAAGUGCUGAAAGCAUCUAAGCACGAAACUUGCCCCGAGAUGAGUUCUCCCUGAGACUUUAAGUCUCCUGAAGGAACGUUAAAGACGAUGACGUUGAUAGGCCGGGUGUGUAAGCGCAGCGAUGCGUUGAGCUAACCGGUACUAAUGAACCGUGAGGCUUAACCU